GCACCGCUGCUCCGCGGAGCAGUGCAGGCACACCGAGAUAUACCUUCCCUUUCACCCGCGCUUUCCGGAAUAGGGCCUUCGCGUCAUGUCUGCGGCGGCGUGCUCGUGGAGUCACGCGGAGUGGACGCCGUACGAGGUCCUCAACGUGCCGCAGUCGGCCCCUAUUAGUGACAUUCGUGCUGCUUUCAAGCGCAUGGCGUUGCGCACGCACCCUGACAAGGCAACGGUGACGACGUCAGCUAGAAGGGCGAGCGGCGGCGGGACGACGCCGUGCUCAGAAUUUCCUGUUUCCUUUCACAUUGUGAAGGAGGCGUCGGAGAUGUUGCUUGACCCGUACUUGCGCGCCGCCUACGAUGCCACCCGCUCCCAGGCGUUGACGCACGAGGUUGGCGCUGUCAGUGAUACCUACUCUCUGAUGGACGACUUUGUUCGUGUAAGGAUGGACGGUGAUGAAAGCGAUGGGCAGCGCGUGCAUGUGUACCAGCGUGAGUGUCGCUGUGGCGGUGUCUAUGAAGUGGCUCUGUUUCCCGAGGCACCGGCAGGGAGUGGCGAGGACGAGGAUGUGCCACUGACGUACUCGGCCCAGACGCUGAGGUGCGAGUGCGAUUCUUGCUCACUUGUGGUGGAGGUAGUGGCGUAGCGCGCAGCGGAGCGCUAGGGACAUGCCCGUACUUUCACGUUGCUUGCAGCACAACGGACCAGUCCCGUCUGUCUUUCUGCCUUGGACUUCUCUCUUUAUUUCUCGCGUUGGUUUGAAGGUGCUGCUGCGCACUGUGUUGGGACCGCACCCUCGGCAUCCUGUGGAAGCCCUCACCGGGAAGGGCUUCAGCGUAGUACAGUGCUUGCGUGUAUGCGCCUACGCUUGCCUUGCAGUGCGCACGCAUCCGCCCAGCUGUUGCCGUCGCCACCUUGGUUUACUUAAAGGGAUGGCUGCCUUUCUCUGUCGUAUAAGCCCCGCGGGAAAGCACACGUACUCGCGCACAGCGUGCACGCAGGCCACUCAUCUCUGCAUGGCUUGGCGCACACACGCGUCUCUUCCGCUCGGAGCGAUCUGUAAGUUAUACGAGUAUCCGCAACCACAACGCAGAGGAAAAGCGAUGGGUAGAUGCCCGAAACUGAGGGCAACGGGGGGGGCGCACAGAGACACGAAGAGGACAACGACGGCGUCUCCCACGUCGCCUUCUGCUCCGUUUGAAAUCUUCACUUAGGUUUCUCCCCCAGCCACCCACAAACGCUCACUCGCUCUCUCUCGCGCUCAGAAAGAGCGGGGGCGCUGAGUCCGUUGGUGAAUGUACCCUUUCCAGCGUCGAUGUGGCAUACGCGCGCAUGGCCAACAUCCACGCACGCACGCUACCUUCUGCUCGACCCACCACCGCCCCUACCCCCUUUCACCACUCUCGCAUCUGCGAAG
rnacentral:misc_RNA from 1 species